rnacentral:rRNA from 1 species
CCUACGGGUGGCAGCAGUAGGGAAUAUUGCUCAAUGGGGGAAACCCUGAAGCAGCAACGCCGCGUGGAGGAUGAAGGUUUUCGGAUCGUAAACCUCUUUUGUUAGAGAAGAUAAUGACGGUAUCUAAUGAAUAAGCACUGGCCAACUCCUUGCCAGCAGCCGCGGUAAUACGGAGGGUGCAAGCGUUACUCGGAAUCACUGGGCGUAAAGAGCGCGUAGGCGGGAUAGCAAGUCAGAUGUGAAAUCCUAUGGCUUAACCAUAGAACUGCAUUUGAAACUGGUAUUCUAGAGUAUGGGAGAGGUAGGUGGAAUUCUUGGUGUAGGGGUAAAAUCCGUAGAGAUCAAGAGGAAUACUCAUUGCGAAGGCGACCUGCUAGAACAUAACUGACGCUGAUGCGCGAAAGCGUGGGGAGCAAACAGGAUUAGAUACCCUAGUAGUC